UAACCGGAUUAGAUACCCUGGUAGUCCACGCCGUAAACGAUGUCGACUUGGAGGUUGUGCCCUUGAGGCGUGGCUUCCGGAGCUAACGCGUUAAGUCGACCGCCUGGGGAGUACGGCCGCAAGGUUAAAACUCAAAUGAAUUGACGGGGGCCCGCACAAGCGGUGGAGCAUGUGGUUUAAUUCGAUGCAACGCGAAGAACCUUACCUGGUCUUGACAUCCACAGAACUUUCCAGAGAUGGAUUGGUGCCUUCGGGAACUGUGAGACAGGUGCUGCAUGGCUGUCGUCAGCUCGUGUUGUGAAAUGUUGGGUUAAGUCCCGCAACGAGCGCAACCCUUAUCCUUUGUUGCCAGCGGUCCGGCCGGGAACUCAAAGGAGACUGCCGGUGAUAAACCGGAGGAAGGUGGGGAUGACG
rnacentral:rRNA from 1 species